GGCUAGAUAGUUUAGUAAAACAUCAACUUGUGGCGUUGAAGUCAUCUGUAAAGAUUUUGGCCA
rnacentral:tRNA from 1 species